rnacentral:rRNA from 1 species
CCUACGGGAGGCAGCAGUAGGGAAUCUUCCACAAUGGGCGAAAGCCUGAUGGAGCAACGCCGCGUGGGUGAAGAAGGUCUUCGGAUCGUAAAACCCUGUUGUUAGAGAAGAAAGUGCGUGAGAGUAACUGUUCACGUUGCGACGGUAUCUAACCAGAAAGCCACGGCUAACUACGUGCCAGCAGCCGCGGUGAUACGUAGGUGGCAAGCGGUAUCCGGAUUGAUUGGGCGUAAAGGGAACGCAGGCGGUCUUUUAAGUGUGAUGUGGAAGCCUUCGGCUUAACCGGAGUAGUGCAUUGGAAACUGGGAGACUUGAGUGCAGAAGAGGAGAGUGGAACUCCAGGUGUAGCGGUGAAAUGCGUAGAUAUAUGGAAGAACACCAGUGGCGAAGGCGGCUCUCUGGUCUGUAACUGACGCUGAGGUUCGAAAGCGUGGGUAGCAUACAGGAUUAGAUACCCGUGUAGUC